rnacentral:rRNA from 1 species
AUGACGAUACUCAGCUGGAACUGCCGGGGACUUGGCCAACCCCGCACAGUUCGUGAACUAGUGGGGCUAGUGAACAAUCUAAAGCCAAAACUAGUUUUUCUCUCUGAAACACGGCAAAGCGAUGAGUUCAUUAAUAAGUUACGAUGGAGGCUAGGCCUCAAGCAUUGUAUUGUGCAUGCUGGUACCGGGAAAGGUGCGGGCAUUGCACUCCUGUAUGAUGAAAGUGUACAGUGGGGAGCUACCUUUGUGUAUGGAGAACCAAAAGUGCAAGAGAGGUACAAUAUGUGGAAUUUGUUGAGAAGAAUUAGACAAAAUGCUACUGAACCCUGGUUAGUAAUAGGAGAUUUAAAUGAAACUAUGUGGCAGAGUGAGGACUUCUCACGAGCAAAGAGAUCCGAAAGCAACAUGGCAGAGUUCAGAAGAGUGUUGACUGAAUGCGAUUUGCAUGACAUAGGGUACAAAGGUACACCAUGGACAUAUGACAAUAGACAGAAGGGCCACUACAAUGUGAAAGCAAGGUUGGAUAGAGGUGUUGCAUCUCCAGAUUGGUGUAAGUUGUUUGAGAAUGCCACGGUGGAGCAUAUAUGCACCUCUAGAUCUGAUCAUGUGCCUCUCUUGCUUCGGUUGGGCAGUAGAAAGGAAUGGCGGCCUAUUAAGAGAGCUUUUGAGUAUGAAGCAAUGUGGGAAAGAAGCCCAGACCUGGGCGAAGUAAUCAACAAAAGUUGGGCUGGAGGAGGGGCGAGUACAUCGGUGGACGACAUAGCCAAAAAAUUAAGAUGCAUGCAAGACGUCCUUAGCAGCUGGGCACAAAAAGAGUUUUGCUCAGUACAGAAUUAA